UAUUCAGAAAAAUUACACACCCAUGGAAUUCUGGAAAGCUAUGGACUCUGAUUACUGUAUCAAUCAAAAGCAGCAGCACUGAAAAUCUCACAAGAAGGGCAUUUACUUUGGACACUGACAGGUUCUAAGACCCUAGAAAGAGAAAUAGAGAUUUAUCCUAACUCUCCUUUAUAGUAGUUCCUGGGACCUUGCAAUGGAAAUGAGAUUAUUUCUGCUAAUUCUCCAGAGCAGGUCCACAACAGCUCUUGGAUAUGAUCCAUUCCACCUGGUAUCACAGUCUGAGCCAUGCUGGAGAACAUGAGAGAAAGAAGGAGGUGCAUCUUUCCAGUGACAGUGUCUGAGGAGUCUCGGAGCAGACAUAAUGACUCCAGUGACUCUGUACCACCCAAGAAUCCCACUCUGCUGUGGGAGUUCUUCCCUGGCUGGAUUUACAAGGCCCUGAGCCAGAUAUAAGCAGCUCCCACAGACAAGCAAACUGAGGUACACAGCUAUCAAAUGUAAGCAGUAUUGUGGUUGCCCACUUUAGUUCUCUCUUCUUCCCUGUCAGAAAAUUAAGAACUGCAAAAUGUUAAGGACCCUCAACACCCAGGUGUAAGAAGGUUUGGUCCCUAAAAUUUUAAUUUGCUAAUGUAACAUGUUGCAGUGUGAAAUAUCACAGAAGUUCCAGAGGGAACACAAAGUUUUGAAUCUUAUUAGUCUUUGUAUUACAUUAGUGCUCAAAUCAGAAUUGUGGUCCCAUUGUGCCAUGAGUUGUGUAAACAUAAAUGAAGCAUUAUCCCUGCUCUGAAUAAUUUACUCUCUAAAUAGAAAGGACAGAAACAGAAAAACUCUUCCACUGACUUUGCCUCAAGGAAUUUUUUCACAACCCACAACCACCACAUCCCCAUCAACAAUCAUAAAAAAAAUAGAAUCAGCUGACUGGAUGCCCCCAGCAGACAAAACCCCACACUGGAUCAGUACAUCAAUUGCUUCAGGAAAAUAAUCAACUGUGAAAGCCUCAACAAAUGUUACAUCCAUAACAAUCUCUCCACCCCCGAGAGGACAACUAUUCAGUACUAAAAAAAUCCAGUCAUCAGAGAGUGAUCAAAAUAGCAGACAAAGGGGAUGCCAUCAUAGUAGUUAAUCAUGAUGACUACAACAACAAAGCCAACAGACAACUCUCGAACACAAGCUACUACAGUAAAAGCUUUCUUAUCUGGCAUGUUGU
rnacentral:lncRNA from 1 species